rnacentral:misc_RNA from 1 species
GAUGAAGAACGUAGCGAAAUGCGAUAAGUAAUGUGAAUUGCAGAAUUCAGUGAAUCAUCGAAUCUUUGAACGCACAUUGCGCCCACCAGUAUUCUGGCGGGCAUGCCUGUUCGAGCGUCAUUUCAACCAUCAAGCCCCCGGCUUGUGUUGGGGACCUGCGGCUGCCGCAGGCCCUGAAAAGCAGUGGCGGGCUCGCUGUCACACCGAGCGUAGUAGCACAUCUCGCUCAGGGCGUGCGGCGGGCUCCAGCCGUUAAAGCACCCACCUUUCGCAAGGUUGACCUCGGAUCAGGUAGGAAUACCCGCUGAACUUAAGCAUAUCAAUAAGCGGAGGA